rnacentral:rRNA from 1 species
ACGGAAGGCAGCAGUGGGGAAUAUUGCACAAUGGGCGCAAGCCUGAUGCAGCGAUGCCGCGUGAGGGAAGAAGUAUUUCGGUAUGUAAAGCUCUAUCAGCAGGGAAGAAAAUGACGGUACCUGACUAAGAAGCCCCGGCUAACUACGUGCCAGCAGCCGCGGUAAUACGUAGGGGGCAAGCGUUAUCCGGAUUUACUGGGUGUAAAGGGAGUGUAGGCGGCUGCGCAAGUCAGAAGUGAAAGCCCGGGGCUUAACCCCGGGACUGCUUUUGAAACUGCGUAGCUAGAGUGCAGGAGAGGCAAGCGGAAUUCCUAGUGUAGCGGUGAAAUGCGUAGAUAUUAGGAAGAACACCAGUGGCGAAGGUGACUUGCUGGACUGAGACUGACGCUGAGGCUCGAAAGCGUGGGGAGCAAACAGGAUUAGAUACCCUGGUA